GAUCAUGGCUCAGGAUGAACGCUGACAGAAUGCUUAACACAUGCAAGUCAACUUGAAUUUGGGUUUUUAACUUAGAUUUGGGUGGCGGACGGAUGAGUAACGCGUAAAGAACUUGCCUCACAGCUAGGGACAACAUUUAGAAAUGAAUGCUAAUACCUGAUAUUAUGGUUAUAGGGCAUCCUAUAAUUAUGAAAGCUAUAAGCACUGUGAGAGAGCUUUGCGUCCCAUUAGCG
rnacentral:rRNA from 1 species